AACGGGUGGAUCCGCAAAGUCGGCCCGCGGAACUCAGCGCGGCGGGACGUCGCCCGGAGCUGCCGCGGUCUCGGGAUCCUUGUCAGUGACCCGGCCGCGGAGUUUGCGCCGGGCGCCGCCGCGUGCACUUUCCGCGGGCAGAGCGCCACGACCGGUUUGCCGGCGCCAGAAGGCCCGCGCGGGAAGGUAGGCGCAGGCCGUCAAAAGCCGGCGCUGUUACACGCCGCUGGGCUCGGGCCGCUGCCGGACCGAGGAACGACCGCGCCGCCCUGGAGGCUGCCCGGCCCUCCUGGGGAGUUCGACUGGCGGGGACUGGGCAACCGUGCCCUCCGACCGCUCCCGUGCGACGGGAUCGGGGCCAGCCGGGGUGCGCUGUGGGUCG
rnacentral:rRNA from 1 species